rnacentral:rRNA from 1 species
UACGGGGGGGGUAAGCGUUGUUCGGAAUUACUGGGCGUAAAGGGCUCGUAGGCGGCCAACUAAGUCAGACGUGAAAUCCCUCAGCUUAACUGGGGAACUGCGUCUGAUACUGCUCAGCUCGAGUCCGGAAGAGGAGUGUGGAAUUCCUGGUGUAGCGGUGAAAUGCGCAGAUAUCAGGAGGAACACCAAUUGCGAAGGCAGCACUCUGGGACGUGACUGACGCUGAGACGCGAAAGCGUGGGGAGCAAACAGG